CAGCAUUGGAAAAACUGAAGAUGACUAACUGGUAUUUACCUGCAACAGAAGCAGUUUGGCGGUUUUUGACAAACAAGAGGGUUCGUUCACCUAGAAGACAAAGAAGUGGGAAAGCAGAGGCCUUUUGUCCGCAAAGAAUAA